rnacentral:lncRNA from 1 species
AUUUUCCACCAUUCCAACUGGUUUCUUCCUGGACCCAUCCGCCACUGUCAAGAUCACUUUGGUAGGCUUUAAUUCUAUCCCUCUAAUCUUCUUAAAAUCACUGAGAGGCAUCAGAUUAAUGCUUGAUCCUGAAUCAAUCAAAGCUUCUCCUAAAUCUACAUCAUUUAUGGUGCAAGGAAGAGUCAAAGCUCCUGAAUCCUCCAUUUUCUACGGAUGGUUCUUCUUCCUGGGUUUAACCAACUGCUCCUGAUUUUCUUCAUAGCCCAGAUCAAUUAACUUUCCCAUAUAGUAUUUGAUCCUCUCAUCAUAUUGAGAAGUUUGCGAAGAUGUUCUAGGAUUAAUGGGUACCUUAUUAAGCAUAUUAGAAAAUGUUUCUUUAAUAUCUUCCUUCUCUUUUUCUCUUUUUGCUUUCUUCUCUUCGCAUCUCUUAUGCUUAUCAUGAAUCCUCUCCUCCUCUUCGUCCUCACUGCUUCCGAU